rnacentral:tRNA from 3 species
GGGCCGUUAGCUCAAUUGGUAGAGCGCCUCGUUUGCAACGAGGAGGUAGCGAGUUCAAACCUCGCACGGUCCA